GAUGAACGCUAGCGGCAGGCCUAAUACAUGCAAGUCGAGGGAGAAUGUUGGAUUCGUCUGACAUGAAACCGGCGCACGGGUGCGUAACACGUAUGCAACCUACCUUUAACUGGGGUAUAGCUCAGAGAAAUCUGAAUUAAUCCCCCAUAAGACUACGACAUGGCAUCAUGAUGUAGUUAAAGCUCCGGCGGUUAAGGAAGGGCAUGCGGUACAUUAGCUAGUUGGUGAGGUAAGGGCUCACCAAGGCUACGGUGUCUAGGGGGUCUGAGAGGAUGAUCCCCCACACUGGUACUGAGACACGGACCAGACUCCUACGGGAGGCAGCAGUAGGGAAUAUUGGUCAAUGGACGCAAGUCUGAACCAGCCAUGCCGCGUGAAGGAUGAAGGCCCUAUGGGUCGUAAACUUCUUUUAUUAGGGAAGAAAAAACGGGAUGCGUCCUGUACUGACGGUACUUAAUGAAUAAGGAUCGGCUAACUUCGUGCCAGCCGCCGCCGUAA
rnacentral:rRNA from 1 species